rnacentral:misc_RNA from 1 species
AUGGCUUGCCUCCAACCCAACGCCAAGGGUCAAGGCUGCGCUCAUGAUUCAACCAACUUCACUACUGUCACCACCACGACGAAUCCUCCCCUCCCGUCCCGCCUGCCUCAGCCCAAACGUCACCAUGAGCACCGACCUUGAUCAAUCCACCCAUCUCAACGAAAUAUUCAAGCAAAAAGGGAUUCUUCGAACCCAAGUCCGCAAGGCCCUCAAGUUCAUGGAUCCGUCCCUCCGAUCCCAAGAAGACAAUGCAAUCCAGAGUAUUGUCUUAGAAGCUCCAUGGUUCAAGUCUAGCCGGAGUUUAUGUGCUUAUAUAAGUUGCACCUCUCUACGGGAGGUUGAUACGUCGAAAUUGUUGACGGAAAUUCUGCGGAAUCCGGCCAAAGAUGGUUGUGCUCAGACUGGAAAAAAGCUUUAUGUUCCGAGGGUGGAGGACAAGAAUAGUCAUAUGCGAAUGCUCAACAUCUCAAGCAUGGAUGAUCUAAUUGCAAACUCAAUGAAUAUUUUAGAACCUGCUCCAGAAGAUCAUGUUGGAAAUGUGCGGGAAGAUGUAAUGCAGGCAAAUGUCCCGGUUGAUUUGUUCCUCCUGCCUGGACUCACUUUUGACAAAUCUGGAAGACGCUUGGGCCGUGGUGGAGGUUACUAUGACACCUUUUUGAGGAAGUAUCAAGAGCUAGCAAGGGAGAGGAAUUGGAAGGAUCCUCUUUUUGUUGGACUGUCUUAUUCUCUGCAAAUCAUGGAUGAAGGAGUUAUACCAGUAACUCUGCAUGAUGUAUUGGUGGAUGCUCUUGUGACUCCAUCUGGCGUGAUUCCUAUUAGCCCAUCUGCUAUAGAAAGGAGGCCAUAACUAAUUUUCCAAGGAGGAUGAACCAUAUAGAAACAGAAUGCGAUUUGUAUUUGUUGAAUGAAGCAUCAAACUUGAUGUGUUGUAAAUAUGUAUUAGAAUAAAGGAUUUUUGUUCGAUGUUCAAUUGUUAUGAUUUUUCAAAAGUUUUUGGCAUAGUUGCAUCAUAAACGUUAUUUUCACAAACGAUAUUUUCAUCCUGUCUUCAAUCAGAGCAACUUGGUCAUUGACUUGCUAUUACAAAUCCAAGAGUUUUUACUGGAGGUUUGAAAUAAGUUAGAGGCAUUUAUAAAGAACCAUGAUCUCUAUUUGUAGGAGCAAUCUUUACAUUCCAUACUUUAGUUUGGCCACAAAAGUUCAUAUCCACAAUGACUUUUUUUUCUUUCCCAUUCGCCUUCUGGGUAGCCUGAUAGUGAUGCUGCUUCUUCCUAUGCAUAUCAAUUCAGCUGACCCAGAUCCUCUGCAGGAUUUCUGUGUUGCUGACUUAAAAGCCUCUGCAUCGUUAAAUGGCUUCCCUUGCAAACCUGCAGAAGAAGUAACUUCUAAUGAUUUUUUCUUUGAUGGUUUGAGCAAAGAGGGCAACACAACAAACAUCUUUGGUUGGUCUGUGACUGCAGCUAAUGUUCUUUCAUUUCCUGGCCUCAAUACUCUAGGAAUUUCGAUGAACCGAGUAGACUUUGCUCCCGGAGGGCUGAAUCCUCCUCAUUCACAUCCUCGUGCAACCGAGACUGGGGUGGUCAUAGAAGGGAAGCUCCUUAUAGGAUUUGUGACAACUAGCAAUGUGUUUCACUCCAAAGUUUUGAGUGCUGGGCAGAUGUUUGUUGUUCCUCGUGGUCUUGUUCACUUUCAACUAAAUGUUGGAGAAGAAAAGGCCCUUCUUUUCACUGCUUUCAACAGCCAUUUCCCAGGUUCUGCAGUCGCCCCAACUACUCUUUUUGCUUCUACACCUCCAAUUCCCAAUCAAGUGUUAACAAAGGCCUUCCAAGUUGGGGAAGACACAAUCAAAACCAUAAAAUCCAAGUUUGGAUCUUAAACAUUCUUGAAAACCCUUCCAAAAUUUGUACGAACACACUUGUUUUUCUGCAUCACAAGUCAUUCAUCUGAUUGUGAUUUAUUGUGUCUGUUUUAAUGUAUGCUUGUCAUGGUGGUUUUUUCCUACCCUUUCCUUGAUGGAUGUAAAAAUACAUGAUAUCAAAUUACUGAAAUCUUGAGAUUGGUGAUUCUUGAUUUCAGCACCAAGCAGAAGCUAAUAAAAGAUGGGGUUUAGAUUAAAUCCCAGAGAAAUGAAGGUACAAUAACAG